rnacentral:tRNA from 1 species
GGCGGGGUCAGCUAAUAAAGCUUUCGGGCCCAUACCCCGAACAUGACGGUUAAAGUCCCUCCUCCGCCAAUGAACCCA